AACGAACGCUGGCGGCAGGCUUAACACAUGCAAGUCGAGCGCCCCGCAAGGGGAGCGGCAGACGGGUGAGUAACGCGUGGGAAUCUACCCAUCUCUACGGAAUAACGCAUGGAAACGUGUGCUAAUACCGUAUACGUCCUUCGGGAGAAAGAUUUAUCGGAGAUGGAUGAGCCCGCGUUGGAUUAGCUAGUUGGUGGGGUAAAGGCCUACCAAGGCGACGAUCCAUAGCUGGUCUGAGAGGAUGAUCAGCCACAAUGGGACUGAGACACGGCCCAGACUCCUACGGGAGGCAGCAGUGAGGAAUAUUGGACAAUGGGCGCAAGCCUGAUCCAGCCAUGCCGCGUGAGUGAUGAAGGCCCUAGGGUUGUAAAGCUCUUUCACCGGUGAAGAUAAUGACGGUAACCGGAGAAGAAGCCCCGGCUAACUUCGUGCCAGCCGCCGCGGUAACAC
rnacentral:rRNA from 1 species